AAUGCUUUGCUAAAGCUGGUAAAAAGGAACCAAAUCACCUGUGCGAUGGAUUUGGUCCCCUUCAACCAGCUGUAGCUGUGCAUUAAU
rnacentral:pre_miRNA from 15 species